rnacentral:rRNA from 1 species
UACGGAAGGCAGCAGUGGGGAAUAUUGCACAAUGGGCGCAAGCCUGAUGCAGCCAUGCCGCGUGUAUGAAGAAGGCCUUCGGGUUGUAAAGUACUUUCAGUCGUGAGGAAGGUGUUAAGGUUAAUAACCUUAGCAAUUGACGUUAGCGACAGAAGAAGCACCGGCUAACUCCGUGCCAGCAGCCGCAGUAAUACGGAGGGUGCGAGCGUUAAUCGGAAUUACUGGGCGUAAAGGGCACGCAGGCGGUUAAUUAAGUUGGAUGUGAAAUCCCCGGGCUUAACCUGGGAAUGGCAUUCAAGACUGGUUAGCUAGAGUCUUGUAGAGGGGGUAGAAUUCCAUGUGUAGCGGUGAAAUGCGUAGAGAUGUGGAGGAAUACCGGGUGGCGAAGGCGGCCCCUGGGACAAAGACUGACGCUCAUGUGCGAAAGCGUGGGGAGCAAACGAGGAUUAGAUACC